UACGUAGGGUGCAAGCGUUGUUCGGAAUCAUUGGGCGUAAAGCGCGUGUAGGUGGUUAAGUAAGUCAGCUGUGAAAGCCCUCGGCUCAACCGGGGAAGUGCAUCUGAAACUACUCAGCUAGAGGACGGUAGAGGAAGGUGGAAUUCCUAGUGUAGAGGUGAAAUUCGUAGAUAUUAGGAGGAAUACCGGCGGCGAAGGCGGCCUUCUGGGCCGUUCCUGACACUGAGACGCGAAAGCGUGGGGAGCAAACAGG
rnacentral:rRNA from 1 species